GCAAUGGGCGAAAGCCUGACGGUGCAACGCCGAGUGAACGAUGAAGGUCUUCGGAUUGUAAAGUUCUGUUGUUAGGGAAGAACAAGUGCCGUUCGAAUAGGUCGGCACCUUGACGGUACCUAACCAGAAAGCCCCGGCUAACUACGUGCCAGCAGCCGCGGUAAUACGUAGGGGGCAAGCGUUGUCCGGAAUUAUUGGGCGUAAAGCGCGCGCAGGCGGUCUCUUAAGUCUGAUGUGAAAGCCCACGGCUCAACCGUGGAGGGUCAUUGGAAACUGGGGGACUUGAGUGUAGGAGAGGAAAGUGGAAUUCCACGUGU
rnacentral:rRNA from 1 species